GUGGGGAAUCUUAGACAAUGGGCGCAAGCCUGAUCUAGCCAUGCCGCGUGAGUGAUGAAGGCCCUAGGGUUGUAAAGCUCUUUCAGCUGGGAAGAUAAUGACGGUACCAGCAGAAGAAGCCCCGGCUAACUCCGUGCCAGCAGCCGCGGUAAUACGGAGGGGGCUAGCGUUGUUCGGAAUUACUGGGCGUAAAGCGCGCGUAGGCGGACUGAAAAGUUGGGGGUGAAAUCCCGGGGCUCAACCUCGGAACUGCCUUCAAAACUAUCCGUCUGGAGUUCGAGAGAGGUGAGUGGAAUUCCGAGUGUAGAGGUGAAAUUCGUAGAUAUUCGGAGGAACACCAGUGGCGAAGGCGGCUCACUGGCUCGAUACUGACGCUGAGGUGCGAAAGCGUGGGGAGCAAACAGGAUUAGAUACCCUUGUAGUCC
rnacentral:rRNA from 1 species